AGUCUGACAUCUACAGAGGCAGUUGGCAUUGGCCCCAUUCAAGCACUCCCCGAGGUCUACAGUGGAGAAGAGAAGGCUGCCAAGCCCCUGUGAAGAAGAAAGAGACUGUGUAUCGUCCCAGCCCCUCGUGACUUCACACUGGGUGUGAAGACAGAAUAGGAUCCUGAAAGAGGCCGACUUUAACGAAAGGAAUGAGUGUGUGCACUUUUGGACAUGGCGUCUAGAUGUCCUUCCAAUUAAGCGGUGCACAGUAAGUUGGGGAAACCGGAUUCAGAUGCAAGGUUCGCAGCAAAGGCGCUAAAGAAUCGCACAGUCAACCUCGUCUACAGAUGGCUGGAGGCAUGAGACACAAGCUUUCAAAGCAGUUUUUAAGCCACCAACCAUAAAGGCUCAGGAAAGAAUCCAGAAACUACCCCAAAAUUUCCCAUGAUGAUUGACAUCAAGAGAACACCAUUCUGGACCAGUUUCUGAGGUCGAGACUAUGGAGAUUGCCAUUAUUGAAUGUAGUCUCCCCUCCCCCAGCCUGAAACCAGCUUGCUCAGGGGUGGAGCUUCCUGCUCAUUCGUUCUGCCACGCCCACUGCUGGAACCUGCGGAGCCAUACACGUGCACCUUUCUACUGGACCAGAGAUUAUUCGGCGGGAAUCGGGUCCCCUCCCCCUUCCUUCAUAACUGAGUGUCGCAACAGUAAAAUUUGAGCUUUGAUCA
rnacentral:lncRNA from 1 species